rnacentral:rRNA from 1 species
GACGAACGCUGGCGGCGUGCCUAAUACAUGCAAGUAGAACGCUGAAGGAGGAGCUUGCUUCUCUGGAUGAGUUGCGAACGGGUGAGUAACGCGUAGGUAACCUGCCUGGUAGCGGGGGAUAACUAUUGGAAACGAUAGCUAAUACCGCAUAAGAGUAGAUGUUGCAUGACAUUUGCUUAAAAGGUGCAAUUGCAUCACUACCAGAUGGACCUGCGUUGUAUUAGCUAGUUGGUGAGGUAACGGCUCACCAAGGCAACGAUACAUAGCCGACCUGAGAGGGGGAUCGGCCACACUGGACUGAGACACGGCCCAGACUCCUACGGGAGGCAGCAGUAGGGAAUCUUCGGCAAUGGACGGAAGUCUGACCGAGCAACGCCGCGUGAGUGAAGAAGGUUUUCGGAUCGUAAAGCUCUGUUGUAAGAGAAGAACGAGUGUGAGAGUGGAAAGUUCACACUGUGACGGUAUCUUACCAGAAAGGGACGGCUAACUACGUG